GGCGAGAUAGCCAAGUGGUCUACGGCGCACGGUUCAGGCUCGUUUUCCUCUCCGUGUCCUUUCUAGGGCGUGGGUUCGAAUCCCACUCUCGUCA